rnacentral:piRNA from 1 species
UGCCAUUGAAGAGUUCUAUUUUGGUUGU